rnacentral:rRNA from 1 species
AUUGAACGCUGGCGGCAGGCCUAACACAUGCAAGUCGAGCGGAUGAAGGGAGCUUGCUCCUGGAUUCAGCGGCGGACGGGUGAGUAAUGCCUAGGAAUCUGCCUGGUAGUGGGGGAUAACGUCCGGAAACGGGCGCUAAUACCGCAUACGUCCUGAGGGAGAAAGUGGGGGAUCUUCGGACCUCACGCUAUCCGAUGAGCCUAGGUCGGAUUAGCUAGUUGGUGGGGUAAAGGCCUACCAAGGCGACGAUCCGUAACUGGUCUGAGAGGAGGAUCAGUCAAACUGGAACUGAGACACGGUCCAGACUCCUACGGGAGGCAGCAGUGGGGAAUAUUGGACAAUGGGCGAAAGCCUGAUCCAGCCAUGCCGCGUGUGUGAAGAAGGUCUUCGGAUUGUAAAGCACUUUAAGUUGGGAGGAAGGGCAGUAAGUUAAUACCUUGCUGUUUUGACGUUACCAACAGAAUAAGCACCGGCUAACUUCGUG